UGCAACGUCUCCGUCUAUUUCUUUGACGGACUUAAUGGAACCAAACGUCAUGGGCCGAUUACUUGUCGAUUCUGUUCCAUAGAAGGCCGUCCAAGCCGUCACAUUACUUUGCAUGAUCGCCAACGAACACGGCCGCAAGACAAAUGUGAUAUGACGAUUAUGGAUCUUAAUUAACUAUGACAGCACAACAAACUUGUACAUGGAUUACAUCACACCACUAGCACUAGGCGGGUAAUGACAUCAUUACCCGACGCAACGCCAGCAAACUGAUCCUAGUUCUUCCCUAAACGAGCCGCCGUCGUUUUGGUUCAGAAUUGCUCACUUCUGCGUACUCCUCGUCGGAAUAACGCACCCAUUUCCAGCAACGGAUGACGGAUCCAUCGCCGACACCAAACAAUUUGUUCGACUCAUCUCCACGAUUCAUUACUGGAUCAUAAUCACCUUAGCCCUCCCCAACAACAUCAACAGUCGCCAGGUUGACUGGAUCAUAUUCCGGCGCCUAGUCCAGUGGAAAGUGUCACGCCUUCUGAAGCGUCAGUCCAAUACUUUAUUGCAUCCUCACUCUGCGCACAACAAAAUAGAACAUCAGGCGACAAUGGAAAUGCUUCCUUCUGCAAUCUGCACUCAACAGCAAAGAAAAUCUAUACUCGAACUCAGGUCAUACCUGCAUUGCCACAUUUGACGCUUGCUCGACAGUGCCCCUCUGCAUCAUCUGCUGCUACCUACUCCCUCCGUUCCUAAUUGUAAGUCUUUUUAGAGAUUCCACUACAAACUACAUACGGAUGUAUAUAGACAUAUUUUAGAGUGUAGGUUCACUUAUUUUGCUUCGUAUGUAGUCCAUAGUGAAAUCUCUAAAAGACUUAUAUUUAGGAACGGAGGGAGUACUUAACAGCGUUUUCCAAACAGGGCAACCCUUGUGUCAUGACUUUUUUUUUGCAAGGGGUUCAACGCGAGAACAACACACUUAUUACUGAAACAUCAACAAAUGAUUGACAACAUACCUGCAUGCAAGGUCACCAUAGAGCCGUCGUCGCCCGCACUGACGACUAUAUCCAUCUGCCCGGCUGUAGACUUCCCUCAAGCAUACAAAACAACAACUGAUUAUAAAAAGUCAAUCCACUUGCAUGGUUUCAUCUAAUUAAGCAGUUCACCUUCCAUAAACCCAACUGAAAAAGGAUUUUUUUUCAACCCUAGAUACUUCACAGCACCCACUAAUGCAUCACUGAAUACAUUUGUAUUACAACUCAAGACAUAAAGCAUGCCUGCACGCAGGGCAGGUGCUCAGUUGCACAAACACAUCACGAAUGCAGAAAACAAGUCACACUUUGACCAUUCAAACUUGCUGAAAUCGUUUGGCAUUUUUCACUCACCACCACACGUCACCAGCUAACCUCAGGUCCAUUGCUUUCGUAAAAUUAUUCCUUUGGUGCCCCACCACACCACAAUUUUUGCACUUCGUCGGCUUCCAAGGCUGAUUUGGCACAUCGCCACGAUCUGGAUAAGUAGUUCUCUUGUGCCCCAGCCAUCGGCACACCAACAAGCAUCACACUGUUAACUGCAGCUCGAUUCUGGUCUGCACAUGAACAAAAACAAGAAACAAUCAUAUCAUCAUACUACCAGCACCAUCUUCAAGUACUCUUUUUAAGAAAUGUCCUUAAUCAACAUACCUGUUAGGAUUGUCCUUGGUGCUACAGGUCCCAUAAUCCUCAGGAAUUCAGUAAAAAACCACUCAAAACUCUACACGGUCUCAUCGUGUACCAGGACGCCAGCUAAGAUCACACUCUGGUUAUGGUUUUUCAAAC
rnacentral:lncRNA from 1 species